rnacentral:lncRNA from 1 species
GUUUAAAUAAAAACAAAACAUUGACUCCCCCAAAAUAUAUAGACCAAAGGGAAGGCAAUUAUAAACUAUAAGAAAAAAAAUUGAUUGCAAGAUAUGUGCUUAUAAGAUUUAACAUUCACUAUAACUGAAUCGUAAAUUUGUCUGUAUUGUAUCUGAUAUUAAAUUAUAGUUCCAUUUGUUAUAUCACUAUGCUAAAACAGUUGAUAUCACUCUAUAUGUCUCACCUUCAAGGAAAAGCUGGCUAUCUCUUGAGAUCAAAAAUGGCAAUUGAAUUUCUACAUGAAUUCUUAAACAGUAGAAAUAAUAGACUGAAAAUCUUUUGAUUUGCAAGACUCUGGCUUUUUUGAAAGAGUAAGAGGUUUUCUUAUAAUUCCACACUAUAUUUAAAUGGAAAAUGCCAACUGAGGUAGCUAAGCAUAGUUUAUACUAAAACCAGAGUAAAAAAGAGUGCAUGACCAUAUGUAAUGUUGCCCUUCUUGUCUUCCAAAUAAAGGAAAGGAGAGUUUGAACAGCAGUUCAAGAAGGAUAUUUUAGAGGGGACCGAAUAAAGCUUUGGAAUCAUCUCCCAACCUACACCACUAUAUACAUGCCACCCACCUGGAGUUAAAUAAGGCCCAGAUGGAAAGGGUGUGAUAAGACCCAGAAAGCUUUGGAAGAAUCCCAGCCAAGGAGACUGCAGAACUCAUAGAGAAGCCCCGAGUUUAGCAAGUUCAGCCAGGAUCUGAGAAACUCUCUGCCUGGGUGGCAGAAGAGCCCCAUGAGGGAGGUAUGUAGGCAGAUGGGCCCAGGAGGCACUUGGCAGGGUCUCACAAUCCAGUGUAGUUUUAGAAGGCACUGAAAGUUCCUCUGCUCCCAACAGAGGUGGAAAAUUGAUGAGAGAACCAGAGGACAAAAGGAAGUUUGAGGUGAGAUUCAGAAAGACCCCUAAACCAGGGCUAGUGAGA